AGUAACGGCGAGUGAAGCGGGAUGAGCUCAAAUUUGUAAUCUGGUGGACUCAGUUCAUCCGAGUUGUAAUCUAUAGAAGUGUUUUCCGCGCUGGACCGUGUCUAAGUCCCUUGGAACAGGGUGUCAGAGAGGGUGAGAAUCCCGUGCUUGAUACGAUCACCAGUGCUAUGUGAUACACUUUCAACGAGUCGAGUUGUUUGGGAAUGCAGCUCAAAAUGGGUGGUAAAUUCCAUCUAAAGCUAAAUAUUGGCGAGAGACCGAUAGCGAACAAGUACCGUGAGGGAAAGAUGAAAAGCACUUUGGAAAGAGAGUUAAACAGUACGUGAAAUUGUUAAAAGGGAAACGAUUGAAGUCAGUCGUGCUCUCUGGGACUCAGCCGGUUCUUCCGGUGUACUUCCCAGUGAGCGGGUCAACAUCAGUUUAGAUCGCUGGAUAAAGGUAUUAGGAAGGUGGCUCCCUCGGGAGUGUUAUAGCCUAGUAUCGCAUACAGUGGUUUAGACUGAGGAACGCAGCUCGCCUUUAUGGCCGGGGUUCGCCCACGUCCGAGCUUAGGAUGUUGACAUAAUGGCUUUAAACGACCCGUCUUGAAACACGGACC
rnacentral:rRNA from 1 species